AGAACGAACGCUGGCGGCAUGCCUAAUACAUGCAAGUCGAACGAACACUUCGGUGUUAGUGGCGCACGGGUGCGUAACGCGUGGGAAUCUGCCCUUGGGUUCGGAAUAACAGUUGGAAACGACUGCUAAUACCGGAUGAUAUCGAAAGAUCAAAGAUUUAUCGCCCAGGGAUGAGCCCGCGCAGGAUUAGCUAGUUGGUGAGGUAAAGGCUCACCAAGGCGACGAUCCUUAGCUGGUCUGAGAGGAUGAUCAGCCACACUGGGACUGAGACACGGCCCAGACUCCUACGGGAGGCAGCAGUAGGGAAUAUGGACAAUGGGCGCAAGCCUGAUCCAGCAAUGCCGCGUGAGUGAUGAAGGCCUUAGGGUUGUAAAGCUCUUUACCCGAGAUGAUAAUGACAGUAUCGGAGAAUAAGCCCGGCUAACUCCGCGCCAGCAGCCGCGGU
rnacentral:rRNA from 1 species